rnacentral:rRNA from 1 species
GCAAGGAAUUUUGCGCAAUGGGCGAAAGCCUGACGCAGCGACGCCGCGUGUGGGAUGAACGCCUUCGGGUCGUAAACCACUUUUCUCAGGGAGGAAUAAAUGACAGUACCUGGGGAAUAAGUCACGGCUAACUACGUGCCAGCAGCCGCGGUAAUACGUAGGUGGCUAGCGUUAUCCGGAUUUAUUGGGCGUAAAGAGGGCGCUGGUGGCUUUGUAAGUCGGAUGUGAAAUCUCCUGGCUUAACUGGGAGCGGUCAUUCGAUACUGUGAAGCUUGAGAGCAUCAGAGGGAGGUGGAAUUCCCGGUGUAGUGGUGAAAUGCGUAGAUAUCGGGAGGAACACCAGUGGCGAAAGCGACCUCCUGGGGUGCUUCUGACGCUUAGGCCCGAAAGUGUGGGGAUCAAACAGGAUUAGAAACCCUAGUAGUCC